AACUGUCGAAAUUCGUGAAUUUGCAAAAAAGCAGCGUCGCACAGAAAGAUAUGCGGAGCUUCAUUUCGCAAAACCUGAGGCACGGUUUUUGUUCCUUUUUUCGCACUUUUUCCUUUCUUCA
ensembl:snoRNA R166.10 ncRNA